UAAACGGCCGCGGUACCCUAACCGUGCAAAGGUAGCGUAAUCAUUUGUCUAUUAAUUGUAGACCCGUAUGAAAGGCAUAAUGAGGGUUUAACUGUCUCUUUUAGUAAAUCAAUUAAACUGAUCUCCUAGUCCAAAAGCUAGGAUACCAACAUAAGACCAGAAGACCCUGUGAAACUUUAACUAAAAUAUUAAAACCUAUAAUAUCUACUUUAGGUUGGGGCGACCUUGGAAAAUAAAAGAACUUCCACAUACACAUUAUACAUAAUGUACCACCGGCCAACAAGCCUACAACGACCCAGCACAGCUGAUAAUUGAACCAAGCUACUCCAGGGAUAACAGCGCUAUCUUCUUCAAGAGCCCAUAUCAAAAAGAAGGUUUACGACCUCGAUGUUGGAUCAGGACAUCCUAAUGGUGCAACCGCUAUUAAGGGUUCGUUUGUUCAACGAUUAAUAGUCCUACGUGAUCUG
rnacentral:rRNA from 1 species